rnacentral:rRNA from 1 species
GACGAACGCUGGCGGCGUGCCUAAUACAUGCGAGUUGAGCGCUGAAGGUUGGUACUUGUACCAACUGGAUGAGCAGCGAACGGGUGAGUAACGCGUGGGGAAUCUGCCUUUGAGCGGGGGACAACAUUUGGAAACGAAUGCUAAUACCGCAUAAAAACUUUAAACACAAGUUUUAAGUUUGAAAGAUGCAAUUGCAUCACUCAAAGAUGAUCCCGCGUUGUAUUAGCUAGUUGGUGAGGUAAAGGCUCACCAAGGCGAUGAUACAUAGCCGACCUGAGAGGGUGAUCGGCCACAUUGGGACUGCGACACGGCCCAAACUCCUACGGGAGGCAGCAGUAGGGAAUCUUCGGCAAUGGACGAAAGUCUGACCGAGCAACGCCGCGUGAGUGAAGAAGGUUUUCGGAUCGUAAAACUCUGUUGGUAGAGAAGAACGUUGGUGAGAGUGGAAAGCUCAUCAAGUGACGGUAACUACCCAGAAAGGGACGGCUAACUACGUG